CAUUAAAAAAAUUCAUCCAGUUCUACUAGUAAAAACUGACAUUGCUAAUAGAAAAAUCAAAUAGUUACAUAUGAUGUGCCACGUGUACAUCAUGUUAACAUAUAGAAACUAAUUUUUAACAAUAAAAAUGGACGAAAUUUUAAAUA
rfam:Gossypium arboreum cultivar AKA8401 contig_19817_3, whole genome shotgun sequence.